rnacentral:misc_RNA from 1 species
AUUACAUAGUUGACUUACCAUAAUCAAUCAUUGUCUCUAACUUAAGUGUUGAAGGGCUCGGUGAGAACCCAAUGUACAUCUAACCCAUUAUUUUCUGUUUUGUAGGUCCAUACCACAAGAAAUUUUAAUGGAUCGCAAUACAUACUAAUUUAUGAAGGAUAUUAGAAAAGGAAACAAUUAGAGAAGGAAGAAGACAUCUUAAAGUAUAUUUUAUCAAUAGGAAUCACCCCAAAAAAUGGUUUUCUCUUCAAGUUAUGUUCAUCACAAAUUUGAAUUAGUGCAGUGGUGUGCUAGAACAAGUGUGAAACUUCAAAAUCAGCAACAUCAAAACUUGGAAGAUGAGUGAAAAGGACAAAGCAAGAAGAAAAAUAUAGUCCUUUGUCCUCUAUGGCAUGCAAAACUCUUAUAAUGAGUGAAAAAGACA